UGGAUGACGGUGACGUUUUGUGCCUUAC
rnacentral:sRNA from 1 species